GAUGAACGCUGGCGGCGUGCUUAACACAUGCAAGUCGAACGGAAAGGCUCCUGCUUGCAGGGGUACUCGAGUGGCGAACGGGUGAGUAACACGUGGGUGAUCUGCCCUGCACUUCGGGAUAAGCCUGGGAAACUGGGUCUAAUACCGGAUAGGACGAUGGUUUGGAUGCCAUUGUGGAAAGUUUUUCGGUGUGGGAUGAGCUCGCGGCCUAUCAGCUUGUUGGUGGGGUAAUGGCCUACCAAGGCGUCGACGGGUAGCCGGCCUGAGAGGGUGUACGGCCACAUUGGGACUGAGAGACGGCCCAGACGCCGACGGGAGGCAGCAGUGGGGAAUAUUGCACAAUGGGCGCAAGCCUGAUGCAGCGACGCCGCGUGGGGGAUGACGGCCUUCGGGUUGUAAACUCCUUUCGCUAGGGACGAAGCGUUUUGUGACGGUACCUGGAGAAGAAGCACCGGCUAACUACGUG
rnacentral:rRNA from 1 species